UCACCCCUCAAGCUCAGCUUGGUGUUGGGGCCUGCCCGUCACAGGGCAGCCCCUAAAAGCAGUGGCGGUGCCAUCUGGCUCUACGCGUAGUAAUACUUCUCGCGACAGAGUCCCGGUGGUGUCCUGCCAGAACCCCAAAUUUUAUCAC
rnacentral:misc_RNA from 1 species